rnacentral:rRNA from 1 species
CCUGAGAAACCCGAAAGAUCGAAUGGGGAGAUUCAUCGUCAGCGAUUCUGGUACGUGUGCGGCUCGCGAUGUAGCGGGACUUCGGUCUCGCGGCACGCGUCCGCAUGUUUUUUAUUGCUGGAAUCGCCGGCGUGCACUUCUCCCCUAGUAGGACGUCGCGACCCGUUGGGUGUCGGUCUACGGCACGGUUGGUAGCCUGUCACGUGUGGCGCUUUACGGCGUUACGCGGGGCAGACCUCCGUUCGCCCGACCGGCUGCUCGGCGGUACUCGCAAGGUAUCUGGCCGCAGACAUACGAACUGCGUCCGGCCCGUCGCAAGCGCGGCAAGUGUUUCCCGGCUGUACGGAUCCAAUGCCGUCACCGGGCCUUGCCAGCUGUUGGUUGACGGUGUCCUAGGACUGGCUAACAAAAUUAUGAUACCGGUCGGCGACGCUACUGCUUUGGGUACUUUCAGGA